UACGUAGGGGGCAAGCGUUGUCCGGAUUUAUUGGGCGUAAAGAGCGUGUAGGCGGCCAGACAGGUCCGUUGUGAAAACUCGAGGCUCAACCUCGAGACGUCGACGGAAACCGUCUGGCUAGAGUCCGGAAGAGGAGAUUGGAAUUCCUGGUGUAGCGGUGGAAUGCGCAGAUAUCAGGAGGAACACCGAUGGCGAAGGCAGAUCUC
rnacentral:rRNA from 1 species